rnacentral:rRNA from 1 species
CCCUUAGAUGUUCUGGGCCGCACGCGCGCUACACUGAUGCAUUCAACGAGCCUAUCCAUGACCGACAGGUCCGGGUAAUCUUUGAAUCUGCAUCGUGACGGGGAUAGAUUAUUGCAAUUAUUAAUCUUCAACGAGGAAUGCCUAGUAGGCGCAAGUCAUCAGCUUGCGUCGAUUACGUCCCUGCCCUUUGUACACACCGCCCGUCGCUCCUACCGAUUGGGUGUGCUGGUGAAAUGUUCGGAUCGGCCGUUUGUCGCGGUUUCCGCGUCAUGUGGCUGAGAAGUUCAUUAAACCCUCCCACCUAGAGGAAGGAGAAGUCGUAACA